UACAGAGGUCUCAAGCGUUGUUCGGAUUCAUUGGGCGUAAAGGGCGCGUAGGUGGCCUGUGGAAGUCUGCGGUGAAAGCCCGGCGCUCAACGCCGGGUCGGCCGUGGAUACUCUCGGGCUUGAGCUUACUAGAGGCAGAUGGAAUUCCGGGUGUAGCGGUGGAAUGCGUAGAGAUCCGGAAGAACACCGGUGGCGAAGGCGGUCUGCUGGGGUAAUGCUGACACUGAUGCGCGACAGCGUGGGGAGCAAACAGG
rnacentral:rRNA from 1 species